rnacentral:lncRNA from 1 species
UUGAAAUCAAGCUACAACUCUAGGCAUGCCGGUGUGGUGCACUUAAUUAUAAACUAAUAGCUUUUACGUAGUACAAACUUACACUCACGGAGCUUCGCUCCUGUUUUGAUAAAUAGUAACAGAAUUUUUACAAAAAUUAACCGGUCGCUGGAUGCCGAAGGCAAAACUUCAUGAACGAGGGCCGAAGCCCAAUUUUAGUGACUACAAUGAAUAUAUGUGAAGGUUUUUUGGCCCCAACUUAUCUUGUAACGGUCGCUUGUGCUACAAACCCGUAGUCCUACUUUUUUACUCGAACUUCACAGUGUGAGCUCUGUAAGUUUUUUUAUAUAGUUUAACGAUAUUAAACUUUUUUAGAGCAACCUUGGCUUCACCUUCCUCACAACGCAUUCCCCGAAGAAGACGCGCUGUGUGGUACUUCGUUCCAAUAGUAUACCUACGUUGUUUUAAGGCUACAGCCUGUUAUCUAAUAAAAGCGUUUGAAAAACAAGGCUUGCUUUGUUUCCAACCUUAGCUAGGUAAUGCGACAACUUGACAUAACUAGGCGUAAAGCACUCAUAGAGCGUCUUAUGUAUCAAUUUCCAUAGGGCCUACACGUCCGUUUUAGAACUUGUGUUAAAGACCCUGAAGUAGUCGGAGGUUUACAAAUAGUCCCGGCCAUAAGAAGCCUAUGGCUUACUGCACAGCAAAUAAACCCCCCCAGGUCCUUUUGUUUGUGGAGAGGAGCGUGUUGUAGACCCAGCAUAAAAAGUUUCGGUACUUUUGUUUUUUAUGCUUCGUGUUAAUAAUCCAGAGUAAGACAAUUCAUUCGUUACUUAACCAGUAGUUGUUAACAACUAGCACUAAAGUAGCACGGUGC